CAAGGGGCUAACACAUAUUCAGUAUCCUUUAUUUGUGCUUCCUAGUCUUGGUUACUCACAAGAAUGGUUUUAGAUUGCCCAAUGUAUAUGAGAUGGGAGACUGUAUGUGUUGGGUAAUGUAUCAUUGAGUAUUCUGAAGAAAUCCGACACCACAAUUAUUAAAAUAAACAAAAAAUAAAGUAAUUUAGUUGACUCUCAAUAGCGCUCUCUCUUCGUCUGAGUCGGAAUAGAUCAGCCCGAAGGACGCAAACCCUAAACUCUGGUUCGAUUAGGAAAAUUGGAAUUUAUCCAAAUUGUAUUCAUAAUUUCAGAUCGCAAAUGAUGCCGGAACCAAAAGACCGAUCCACGAGGUCCACCGAUGUUUCUGUGAUGGUUUUUCGACAUGGAAUUGGUGGUAUUUUGGUGGAUGAUCCGGAGAUGGGGUCGACUGAGGGGAGUGGCCGUUCCAGGUUGUGGUGGCCUUCGGAGAGGUAGCUUGGGUACACGAACAGAUACCAGAUCUCCUCUCCAGAAUAUCACUGCCUUUGUGCGGGGUUUUGAAAGAAAAAGAGAACGUGAAAGCUUGAGAGAAAUAGAAGGACUCGAGAAAUAGAAGCACUUGAAAGAUAGAUAUUAAAGAAAGCAGGGACAGGAAGAAAAGCACCAUCUGGGGACAGAGAAAGAGAAAGAGGGACAGGAAGAAAAAGCACCAUCUGGGCACAGAGAAAGAGGGACAGGAAAAAAAACACCAUAUGGGCACAGAGCAGAAACUAGGCAACAUUUCAUAGUUGAGAAUAAUAGCCACUUAGAAACCUAAGUUUCAAUUAAAUGGUCCUUAUCAGCCAGUUACUAAAGUAACGAAACAUAUAGUAAUCCUAACUAUUGCUGUGAGAUCAAAUAUUGACAGUUGCCGAGAAUCAACUCAGAAAACCCUCAACGCAUUGACAUUAAUGUUCACACUCUUUUCUCAGCGUCUUCCUUCUUUGCACUCGAUGAGUUCUUUAAUUUUUGCAAUUCGGCCAUGAUAACAUUCCCCACCGUCUCUAAAGAGUUGAAAAGUUGCGGGUUUAUCAUGGCGGAAUUGCAAAAAUUAAAGAACUCAUCAGUGCAAAGAAAGAAGAGGCUGAGAAAAGAGUGUGAACAUUAAUGUCAAUGUGUUGAGGGUUUUCUGAGUUGAUUCUCGGCAACUGUCAAUAUUUUUGAUCUCACAGCAAUAGUUAGGAUUACUAUAUGUACAGUUACUUAGAAACUGGCUGAUAAGGACCAUUUAAUUGAAACUUAGGUUUCUACAUGGGUAUUAUAAAUGUUGCCUAGUUUCUGCUCUGUACCUUGAUGGUGCUUUAUCUUCCUGUCCCUCUUUUCUUUACAUUUCAAGUUGAUCUUCCUUGGCAGAUAGACUACUGGAGCAUCUAAUCGAGUUGGAGCAGAAAUGCUGAGGCCAGUAUUGGGCUCUCAGCUACUAGCAGUACAAUUUUCUAGAGGGGUCCAAACUGGUGUUUUGAGCAAAUUGAAGGAGCUCCAUUCGAUCACCCUCCUUCAAUACCACACCAGGAUCUCUUCUAUUUUCUUGCACCCUGAAAACUUGGCAGUUAUUUUGCUCCAACUUCUCGUGUUGGGUCAUUUAAGCCACUCCAAGGCCCAGAAAGCGCAGGGAAUUCCUCUUGUAGGAGGGUUGGGCAUCAACCACCAGUUCAAGAACGACCAACACCACUUAUUGUUUUGACUUGCCCCUUGAGAGGAGUUAAAUCGUGAGUUUUUGUAGCCCAGUGGCUUUUACAAGACUUUCUUAGUGGCGACACAUUCUACAAGAAGACAAGUCCCUCAAGGAUAAACCCAAAAGCAUUUCUUGACCUCCCUUCAAGGGGAUCCUAGGGAGGUGUAGGAAGAGUUGGUGGAAGACCCGAGGCGACAGAGAAAGUGACAUCAAAAUGGAAGUGGGAUUGGCCAGCGGCAGGUGUAGUUGCACCCUGCCAUUCCUGAUGUGACUGGCUAUUCGGAAAGAAAGAAUUGAAUAGAGGGUAUUCCACGUUUUUUUUUAACUAGUAUAGGUUUUUUUUAACUAGUUAUUAGAUAUGUGUGUGUGUAUAUAUAUAUAUAUCUUUUGAUAACCAGAAUUCUUGAUAAGACCAUCUUCAAUGCAAAAUGUCAUUUAGGGCUGUCAAAUUUAUAUUUUGAGAAGAGCUAC